CUACGGGGGGCAGCAGUCGCGGAACCUUUACAAUGCACGAAAGUGUGAUAGGGGGAUUUCGAGUGCCAUCUCUGAUGGCUUUUGUUAAGAGUAAAUUUCUUGGCGAAUAAAGGGGGGGUAAUAUACGUGCCAGCCGCCGCGGUAAUACGUAACCCCUAAGUAGUUUCCACUCAUAUUGGGCCUAAAACAUCUGUAGCCUGUUUUAUAAGUCUUUGGUGAAAACGGCUGGCUCAACUAGCCGAAUUGCUAAAGAUACUGUAUUACUAGGGGAAGGAAGACGUGAAGAGAAUUUUUGGGGUAACGGUGAGAUGUUAUGAUCCUAAAAGGACUACCAGUAGCGAAGGCGCUUCACGAGAACUAUCCCGACGGUGAGAGAUGAAAGCUGGGGGAGCGACCAGGAUUAGAUACCCUCGUAGUC
rnacentral:rRNA from 1 species